GGAUCAUAUGAAAAUUGAAAGGUGCGAUAAGACUGGUUAAAAGGGGAGCGACUACAACGGGUCGUAUUAAAAGGUGAACUGAUUAAAGGGGAGACUACAGGGG